AAUGAAGUGCCUGAAUUAAAGGGUUAUUUUGAUAGAAUAAAUCACGUGGUUAACCACCACCCUCAUUA
rnacentral:tRNA from 1 species